AAGCUAGGUAAGGGAUAGCACCUAAGCCCUGAGCUCAAGUCCCAGUACCAGCAGAGAAAAAAAAAAUGGAAGUAAGCCUUGUAAUAUUUGCUUUUGAGGCAGGGUCUUACUAUUGUAACCCAGGAUACCUUCCUACUCUCCCAUGUGUUGGUAUGCUGGUAGUACAACAUAUCCCAGCUGGAUUCUUUUUAAUAAAUAAAAGUAACUAGUUAUCUUAAAUGACAGGAUCUUACUGAAGAUCAUUGAAAGAAUGGGAACUUUUGGUCACUAAAUUAAAAUAAAAACAUAAAUAACUGUAGUUAUCCAAUUCAGCUUUCCAGCUAAUACAUGAACACUUUCCACAACACUUAAGAUGACUCUUCAGCCCCAAGUCGACUGUCUCCAGAGAGCAAGAGUAUUCUGCUGCCUUUUCUAACCUGGAGUACUUAACAGCAGAUGAGGUCUGCUUAUCUAAGGCUCUUCUCAUACACUGAACUAAGCUUCAAUUGGCUUCCCUGGUCCUAGCCCUUCCCCUGAGGAGCCACAGUGUAUGGUCUCCCCCUCCUUCCAUUGGCUAUACUUUAAGUUCUUAUACAUACACACUAGGUCUCCCCCACUAUUAAGGCUCCUGCUUUUUGGCCAAGAAUCGUUGGGUCUACUUCUCCAAUAAUAAGUAUAAGAGAUGAGAAGACCAGCUCACUGACUCACAUCCAAACUCAGAAAGUUAUCAAGCAGAGAAUCCCAAACCCUGAGCACUAUCAUAUAAACCAAUCCAAAUGAGGGACAGAAAUGCCCAGGAAUUUUUUUCAGCUUCAGUAGGCUUGUUGGUAGCAGGGCCAGGAAUAGAAUCCAAGCUUCUAGUCUCAAUAAGUGGGUUGCUUGUAUUAUUCCUCACCACAAGGCUACUUAACGCUGAAAUCUGUCUUAAGUGCUCACAGGCCUCAUGCCCAGCAAUAGAAAGGCGCUGACACUAUCAGAACCCCAUGGAUGGACUCCAUCCAUGCCUCUGUGCUGAGCUGCUUCUUGCUCAAUUUGGUGGUUGAUCUUCAUGUCUAGCUCCCCACAGAGUCAAACACAGAAGUAAUCCUUGUUCCCCAAAUGGUUUUGUGUGGUCAGAUACUAGAAUGGAGCUCCAGAUUCAGACCUGCCACAUGAUAAGGUCAGCAGGGAUAUUCAGAGAACGAGGCUGGCUCUCAGAUAUGGGUCAUCUCUCAGUUCUGGGCUCUGAAGCCCUUGAGUAAGUGUAGCUUAUAGGACAGACAGGGCCCAGCUUGGAUUCUACUUACAACAUGUGCAAUAUAAACAUAUGGCUACAUGGUUAUAAAGACAGGAGGAGAUGAGUGGUAAAAUACAGUGUUGUGAACAAGAAGGUGAAGCUGGAGUGGGCCAGCAUGGGAAGGCUCACAGGAGGAGGCAAACUUGAAAUAAUAUUUUAAAUGGACAGAAAAGUAGCUGAAUGAACAGGAAGGGGAUAGAGUGUUAUAAUGGAGGACUUGGCGUAUGAGGAGGUACUGAGGUAGCCUCAAAAAGUUCCUCAUAAGCACAUGGCAGAGAAAGCUUAAACACUCAGGCCCACACCCGCCCAUGAAACUGAUUGUACAGUAGAAUAUGAAACAACUGAUUAUACAAAGCAAAGUCAGCCAAACACCUUAUUUAUCCCAAUAGUUUCCUUUGAAAGUGACACUUUUUUCCUGUUACUUUCAUUUAGUCACACAUUCAUUUAUCCAACAAGUAAAAAUUACACCCCUACCGUGUACCCAACCCCUAAUCCAGAACUCUCUCUGCCUUUCCCCUUCCAUAAAAAGCAGGUGCAACCUGCCUAUCAGAGGAGGGUCAUGUAGAGGUAAGUUCUAGCAAAGUCCCUUAGUGAGCUUCUUUAAUUAAAGCCCCAGGAACCAGGAGAAAAUUAGCACAGUGGGAUCAAAUUCAAGCACCACUCAAUACUUUGGGGGUAUUUAUAGAAAAACAAACACAAAAACAAAAAGAAUCCAAUAUCCUGACUAGUGGCUUCUAGAAGGGUUGUUUAGUGCUCUGUUUUUCUGGUAUAAAUUGGUUCCUGUUCAUAUUUCUGAAAAAUACUGAGGCUGUCCCUUUUGACCUUGUGCAGACUACUCACACCAGGCUGGAAACCAAGGCCUGGGCAUUGCUGAACUUUUCUACCUCAGUCACAGAGAGUCUUCUUAACCUCCUUCUCAAGGAGAAAGACCAGGCAGGGAGAAGAUUCUGAACAUGAAGGGUUCAAUGUUAUUGACUAAAUGGGAGUUGGGGAAGAAAGAAAUUGUUCAAAUCUCCUUUUAAUUUUCUUUUACUUUAUUUUUUGGGGGGUGGUUGGGG